rnacentral:misc_RNA from 1 species
UACGGAGGAUCCAAGCGUUAUCCGGAUUUAUUGGGUUUAAAGGGUCCGCAGGCGGGAGAAUAAGUCAGAGGUGAAAUCCUGCAGCUUAACUGUAGAAUUGCCUUUGAUACUGUUUUUCUUGAGUGUGAUUGAAGUGGAUGGAAUGUGUCAUGUAGCGGUGAAAUGCAUAGAUAUGACACAGAACACCGAUUGCGAAGGCAGUUCACUAAGUCAUAACUGACGCUGAGGGACGAAAGCGUGGGGAGCAAACAGG